GCCAGAAGCCCCCUGAUAGUCCUCCAGUACACUCCACUAUUGGUCACAAGUAGCUCUUUCAGUGGUGCUGCCCGGAACUCCACUUAGGUUUUACAGUUUCUUCUUCAUUGAGGACUUAGGAAACCAGAUUGUGUUGGGGGACUACCUGGAGGCUUCUCGCCCUUGGGGCAAAAGUGCAGUUUGUUAUUGUGCUUUGCCUCUGUCAGUGAAUGUCUACUAUAUUUUAAUGUUAUACUAGAUUUUAUUUAUGUGCUUUCUGCCACCUGUGUUUUAUUUUGUAUGAGAAUUUGCUGUUUCUUAAGGUAACAGUACCCCAAUUUGAAUGCACUGACACUUUGUGAUAUCCUAUCCAUACCUAUUUCUAUAGAUUUUAUUAUAAGGGCAAGACUUUAACCACUCGAACAUCUCAAAUAUCAGCACCUGUAUGUCUGUUUAUUGCAACUACCAUGAUUAUCUGCGAGAUCAUGCCUUAGGGUGUCACAGUUCAACAUCUCUAUGCUAUCCCAUUGUACAGCGCUACGGAGUUUGCUGGCGCUAUAUAAAUAAUAAAAUAAUGAUAAAUAAUAAUCAUGAUGCAUAUAUGGCUUCUGUAAAUUGG